rnacentral:lncRNA from 1 species
CACCCACCAGCCGAACACCACCCCCCUGUCAGUUGCAGAGCCGACCACCACCAUCGGGUGGUGGUCAGUGACGUUUGGACCGAGAAGUGAGAGAGAGAGGAGAGAGAGAGAGGAGAGCCGACGUUGUUCGAGCGGCAACAAGGCUGAGAAGAGAGAGAGGCAUAUGGACGAGAGAGAAAGAAGGGCGGCGGCAGCACCGCCGUACACGUCGGUGGUCGGCAGCGGUUCGGAAUGAUUUUCUGGCGGGGACCCGCCAGAGAAGAUGAUGGUGGCGGCGGUUUUGUUUCUCCUGACAGCUUCACGAUGAGAGGUUGAAAGGGACUGGCGGAGCGCUGAUUUGUGUGGUUGUUUCGAGCUCGGGUCAGGUUAAGGAUC